ensembl:lncRNA ETS2-AS1 ETS2 antisense RNA 1
CACAGGGGGUCUUCUCUCUUGGCUUUGGAGCUCCCCAUUCCUCUGUGUCUGUAACAGGGGAGCUUCUUCCUUCUUUCUUCUCCCUUCUUUCUUGCCUGUUAAACUCUCUGCUUCUUAAAACCACUCCAUGUAUGUCCAGGUCAUUUUAUCUAAUUUGGAGACGGAGAACCCUGGUGUUCCUCUGCUCAUCAGAGCCGUCUCACCUGCAAGGGCCAGGAUCCAGCACUAGGGCUGCCCUUUAUGUUCAUGCAGCCUCCACUAGGAAGAUCCUCCUUAGCUGCCACCUGCUGUAAAGGGAUCUAUCUAUCUAUCUGUCUAUCUAUCUAUCUAUCUAUCUUUCUAUCUACCUGUCGAGAGAGAGAGAGGUUUAUUAUAAGGAAUUGACUCAUGUGAUUAUGGAGGCUGAGAAGUUCCACAGUCUGCUGUCUGCAAGCUGGAGACCCAGGAAGGCUGCUGGUGCCGUUCCAGUUUGAUUCUGAAGGCCUGAGAACCAGAACUGAUGCCCACUCAACAUGAAGAUGACAAGGAUGAAGACCUUUAUGAUGAUCCAUUCCCACUUACUGAAUAUGGUCCUUUGGGAUCAGAGAGCACAGCUGCCACCACCAAGGAGCUGCAAUCACCACCACCAAGAAGCUGUAGCAACAGAGACCAGCGCAACGGUACUGUGAGGACCCAAGAAAACCCAGCUGUGAGCCAGGAGCUUUCCUCCCUGAAGCUUUCAACACCACGGGAAUUGAUUCAUGGCCCUGUCAUUUCAUCUCAUUCCUCGUGGACUCUCAGCAUCUUUAGAAUGACCUGAACAUUGUGGAGGGAGUCCAGAAUCCCUACCCCUGGGCUCUGAGGCAAUGCCUUGGGUUUUUGCAUUGUCUCUUUUCUAGUAAUGGCAGCAACAACAACAACAGCGAAAACCCCAGCUCAACCCACUCUGACCCUAGCGCUCUCUUCCUGGUGUCUUCACUUGCACAGCUUAAAAACUAUAAAUAACAAGGCCCUUUUCCAAAUGUCUUUUGGUAAACUAUGCCUGACCCUGAAAACAAGGCCACCAUCUUCCAGGUGGGAGUGGCCUGUGAGAUUAUAACCUCAGUCCUCUUUCCUAAUAACUGGCUGCUGUGAUCUAC